UGUCAGCGUCCACUUGACGACAGCACGCCAGCUAAAAUUGUUUUAUAUCGAUUAAUUUAGCUAUGUUUAAGCCACAGUGGUCGAAGGUGGACAAAUAAGUAGUUAAGUGGUACUUCUAGAAGAUUAUUAUCCGCCAUAAAUUGGUUAUAAAGCGACACAAGAAGAAGUAUUUGGCCUCCAUCAUGGCUGCAUGUAAGGACUCAAGUGCUGGAGACAAGGAUCAUUUUGUAUACAAAAAUCCCUACUUUUGUUUGCAGUGUCGAAGGUACUGAAUCGCUACCUGGCUGGACUCUGGGCUGCUCUGCGGUCUUGGUCACAUUCUGAGUCACCACCGGUGAGCCUGUAGACGAAGACGGAGAAACCGAAAGAGUGUGUGAGGAAGAGAUGGAUUGUCAUGGAGACGCCAGCAGAUAUGGGAAGGACUGUGCGGCCGAAGUGUUAGAGUGAUGACGGAGGUUGCGGCUGGGAUCGACACGCUGCUUUCGAGGUCAAGGCAAUCCCUUUUCCCAUCGGCAGAAGCGGAAACAUUUGGGGGACAAGACGCGACCGCCAACGGAUCAGCCACUUACAGCGCUCCUUAAAAAAGUUCCAGGUCCUAAAUGCCAGUCAAAGUGUCCCAACUUGUCGGAUUAUAUUCUCAGCCCUCUACUUUCCAGGUG